UACAGAGGGUGCGAGCGUUAUUCGGAAUUACUGGGCGUAAAGCGUGCGUAGACGGUAGCGUAAGUCAGAUGUGAAAGCCCCGGGCUCAACCUGGGAACUGCAUUUGAGACUGCUCUGCUCGGGUGCGGAAGAGGGAAGCGGAAUUUCCGGUGUAGCGGUGAAAUGCGUAGAUAUCGGAAGGAACACCAGUGGCGAAAGCGGCUUCCUGGUCCGACACCGACGUUCAGGCACGAAAGCGUGGGGAGCAAACAGG
rnacentral:rRNA from 1 species